GAUAAACGCUGGCGGCGUGCUUAACACAUGCAAGUCGAACGAAGUUUUUCCUUCGGGAGCCACUUAGUGGCGGACGGGUGAGUAACGCGUGGGUAACCUGCCCUGUACAGGGGGACAACAGCUGGAAACGGCUGCUAAUACCGCAUAAGCACUUAGCACUGCAUGGUGCAUAGGGAAAAGGAGCAAUCCGGUACAGGAUGGACCCGCGUCUGAUUAGCCAGUUGGCAGGGUAACGGCCUACCAAAGCGACGAUCAGUAGCCGAUCUGAGAGGAUGUACGGCCACAUUGGGACUGAGACACGGCCCAGACUCCUACGGGAGGCAGCAGUGGGGAAUAUUGCACAAUGGAGGAAACUCUGAUGCAGCGACGCCGCGUGAGUGAAGAAGUAUUUCGGUAUGUAAAGCUCUAUCAGCAGGGAAGAAAAUGACGGUACCUGACUAAGAAGCACCGGCUAAAUACGUG
rnacentral:rRNA from 1 species